CCUGGUUGAUCCUGCCAGUAGUCGUAUGCUUGUCUCGAAGAUUAAGCCAUGCAUGUAAAGUUCAAGCUCCGAUUUGUGAGGGCGAAACCGCGAAUGGCUCAUUAAAUCAGUCAUGAUCUACUUGAUUGUUUAAAGUUUAUAUGGAUAACUGUGGUAAUUCUAGAGCUAAUACAUGCGUGAAAGGGGCGACUCGGCGACGAGAAGCUCUGCGUUUAUUAGACUAAGACCGAUAGUUGUUAGCAAUAGCAACUUUAUCAAAAGGUGGUGACUCUGAGUAAAUAAUGGGUGCAAGCCCAUGUUGCCGACCUGGCACUCAACCCUUGGCAACAAGGGGCCAGGCGAAUCAAUCGAGUGUCUGCUCUAUCAACUGUGGAUGGUAGGGUAAUUGCCUACCAUGGUGGUGACGGGUAACGGGGAGUUAGGGCUCGACUCCGGAGAACAAGCCUGAGAAACGGCUAGUAGGACUAAGGUCUGCAGCAGGCGCGAAACUUACACAAUGCUAGAUUUACAAUAUAUUAGCGAUGUAGUGAAGAAAAAUAACGAUGUACUUGUUUUUAAACAAACUUGUACAAUUGGAAUGAGACGACCUUAAAACAGUCAGUCGAGUAACAAAUGGAGGGCAAGUCUGGUGCCAGCAGCCGCGGUAAUUCCAGCUCCAUUAGCAUACAUUAAAGUUGUUGCGGUUAAAAAGCUCGNCGCUCGCUGGUCGUCGUCGACCUGCGGAGCUCGUUGUUUCGUCACUUAAUCGAGUGCGAAGCGGGGCGGUGCGACAACGCAUAAACAUCUGUUUUUUGCGCGCAACGCCAUGUUUACCUUGAGAAAAUUAGAGUGCUCAGAGCAGGCAGUUGGGAUGUAAAAGUCUCUUUAUGCUUGAAUAAUGUUGCAUGGAAUAAUAGAAUACGGCCUCGGUUCUAUUCUGUUGGUCUUAUAGAACAACAAACAAGUUGGUUAAGGCGUCAACGUUGCUUAUUUGGGGUGGUGAACUUGUUGCUUGUUGUCUUGAGUGUAAAAACUUAAGUACCAUCGGCGAGUGCGCCAUUAAAGCCCCGCUUGAGUAUACUGCCACAAUCAACUGAGGCAAUGGUUAAAAGAAAUAGUCGCGGCGGCAUCAGUACUGCAUCGUGAGAGGUGAAAUUCUUAGACCGAUGCAAGACUAACUGAAGCGAAAGCGUUUGCCGAGGAUAUUUUCAUUAAUCAAGAACGAAAGUUAGAGGUUCGAAGGCGAUCAGAUACCGCCCUAGUUCUAACCAUAAACGUUGCCAACUAGCAAUUGGGUUGCGAUUCCUUUAGUUGGAGCCUAAAAAACUCCAACCAUUAUGAUCCACCCAGCGGCUCUCGUAGGGAAACCAAAGUGUUUGGGUUCCGGGGGAAGUAUGAUUGCAAAGUUGAAACUUAAAGGAAUUGACGGAAGGGCACCACCAGGAGUGGAGCCUGCGGCUUAAUUUGACUCAACACGGGGAAACUUACUAGAUUAGAACUCUGGAAUGAUUGACAGAUUGAUAGCUCUUUCUUGAUUCAGAGGAUGGUGGUGCAUGGCCGUUCUUGAUUCGUAUUCCGAAACGUCUGCUUAAUUGCGAUAACGAGUGAGACCUCCUGAUGUUAACUAGUUGCAUGGUGCGCUGUGGGACGCAAAAGUCGUUGCGCGUUCUAGUGUGCGGUGUGCGCUUCACGGCGUUAUGCCGUACGCACCGCGUAACGAUGUCCUCUGCUCGCCUGUAGACUUCUUAGCACGAUUUGCAGCAAAAAGCUGCCAGAGACGAGGCAAUAACAGGUCUGUGAUGCCCUUAGAUAUUCUAGGCCGCACGCGUGCUACAAUGGCGUGUGCAGAGAGCUUGUUCGAGGUUCGUCCAGAGAGAACUGCGAGUUUGGUGCAGAUGGGGGGCAACUCUUGUUUGUGUCGGCUUGUAAGUGACUCUGGAGCCGAGCUAAGAGAAACCGCAGCCGAAAGGUUGUGGCAAUCAGAAAUACACGCCGUGAUUUGGGAUUGGGGAUUGCAAUUGUUGCCCAUGAACGAGGAAUUCCCAGUAAGCGCAAUUCAUCAUAUUGCGUUGAUUACGUCCCUGCCCUUUGUACACACCGCCCGUCGCUACUACCGAUUGGAAGUUUUAGUGAGGCAUCUGGACUUGCUGGCCAGGAGAGGGGCAACCUUCUCAGGCUUGGCGGGGAAGUUUGUCGAACUCAAAUUUCUAGAGGAAGUAAAAGUCGUAACAAGGUUUCCGUAGGUGAACCUGCGGAAG
rnacentral:rRNA from 1 species